UGGCCUAGUGGUUAAGGCUAUGGAUCGCCAAUCCAGAGAUGGCGGGUUCGAUUCUCGU
rnacentral:tRNA from 1 species